AGGGUUUUCUACUCCGUAAGAAGGGGCAGACCCAGCCCAGAGGAGCAACUCCAAGCUCAAGGAGAAGUGAACCCAAGAGAUAAAUAAGUGAAUAGCAGCAAUUAAAAAACCAGACCAACUCUGUGCGCUGUUCUCAGCAGGUGGCACAUUGAUGCAGGAGUGACCUGACCUGUAGGCUGUCCCACCCCAACACCAGCUGGUCAGCUGCAGGGGGUGUGAAACAGGAGCUACCCAUCCUCUGACCUCAAAGCCUGCAUCCUCCCUGGCUGUGGCCCUUUGCCUGUCCAAGAGUGGGACACACAGCAUGGCUGCAGAGCAGCUGGCACAGCCCUGGGUCAUGUGAGGUCUGGCUCAUCUAAGCUGGGGCAACAAGAGGCAGCAUCAACUGGAGCACCUCAACACCAUCGCUGAGGAUCUCUCGUUGCAUUCCUUGCCAGUUGUGGCUUCUUACUGACUUUCCAUUAAACCAGUUCAGUGUGUUUUCAUACACUCUCACCCCAAGAUGCCAGUGAUCUUGCCUGUGUGUUUACUCAUCUCAAGGUCUGAGAAGAAGUAGUAAAAAUACUCAAGUCAAUUUAGGGCUGUGGGAUUUGACUUCUCAAGGAGUUUGCCUGCUGCUAGCUGAGCCCCCAACUUCAUUAGUAAGCCUCUCCUGCCAACCAUAGGAAACCUUUACCUCCUGGUAAAAGAUCCCCUGGCUUGCCAUAUCUCCACAGAACGUAUUCACCAACAGAAGGGAGGAAGAAACAUGAAAGAAAUUUGCAUAUUUUUGUGGCCAGCUGCAGACAGAAAAAGAUAUCUUCAUUCAGACAUCACUGCUGCUCAGAUGUGCUGCUGGAUGUGUCUGGUACAGGACCGGCAAACAGGCACUUUUCCCAUGACAAGCUGAGCUUUCCUGUAACAUCAUCACUUUUCUGCUGGACAGAUCUGUUUAGAAUUUUACAGAUUUUCUUACAGGCUUCAUGUUGCCUGAAGAUGGGCAUGGGACAACCCUUCAAUGUUUUUCCACUAAGAUUUUAUUGAAAAGAUCCAGUGCCAUUUCAAUGAAUCUAAAACAAUAUUCAGGUCAUUUUGAGUCCAUCUCUAAUAUCUUCAGUAGUUUUUCUGUUAACAUCUGUGGUGAAGUUUUCAAAUAAUGCCAUAAUGAGGAUGUCAACUGUAACACUUACAAACCCCACUGCUGCAUCUUUCUUCUUUCUAGUGUAGAGUAGCAUUACUGAACCCCAACUAAAUGCUCUCAUACACCUCAUGCUCCCAUAAAGAACUUUACCUAAACUAAAGUCAAGGGUAUAUGGAGGACAGUCUCACACUCCUUGUCAGAAGCUGAUUUGGGUGAAAUGUUGAAAGCCAGUAUCUAGAAACCCAUGAAAUCACCUCCAAAAUCCCACUGGCUCAAAUUGAAUUUGUGAAUCAAGACCUGUUGCAGUCAUCUGACAGCAACCCUUCCAUUGACUCCAGUGAGGUUUGCAUCAGACCCAUUUCUUACCUGUUUUUGUGUCUCAACAUGCAACAUGUGAAGGCCUCCAGAGUUUGAACGUGGUCUUGUAUCUGGACACAAUAAAAGCUGCAAUAAGAGCCUUGUGGUGUGUAGUGCUCAGCUUUGAACAAUACAUCAGGGGAAGACUUUUUAUCUCCAUUCUGCAGAAAGAAGGGAUUAAAGUGGUUUGAAAGACUUCUCUUAAACAAAGAGCUUGAGAGGGUGGGACUAAUAAAGCUGAGCAUGAUAAGUGUGGGUUCAUGACUAAAGAGAAAUCUACAUUUCAGGCACAGUGUGCAGAAAAGGCUCCUUGGCAGGACUGAAAGAUAGUGCUUUGCUUCUUCUGGAAAUCAAAUAUACCAUUAACAACUGUUCUAAAAGACAAGGAAGAGGAGGAGGAGGAGGUGUAGAAGGAGGAGAAAGUGGAGGAGGAGAGAACCACCAAAGACCAACAGUUUUCAGCCAGACGAUGCAUUUUCCAUGUAGCACAGGAGCUGUUACAUUCUGGCACCCUCUCCUAGUGUUGGACGGGAGUGCUUUGGUAAAGCUGGGAAGGCAGAUUUCCACAUCUCAUUGCAAGAGACACGAAACAACCCCCCCAGGCAGAUUUCCACUGGCAAACAAGCAGAAUGCAGCACAGAAAUAAAUAAAGAAAUCACUAUUAAAUCAUUCUGUGAGGAAUAUCAUGGUUUGGCAUGCAAACAUCUCUAUCUGGAGGAGCCAAUGCUUGUCAAGUAAAAACACACAAAAUUCCCAGCCUAUCCUACUAUCAGGAGCUUGUUAUUACAGUGGUAAGGUCCAACAAGGAUGAAACUAACUAAGUAACGUUUCUAAAAGCUUGAACUAACCAUCUCACCCCACUGAACAGCAUUGCAUCUGGGCCUCAGUCCCAGAAAAACCUUCAGUGUUUUGGAUCUGUCAACAGCAGGCUUCAGGAGUCCAAAAUCCAGGCUCGAAAUCUCUUUCUCGAAGUUGGGAAUAGUUUGAAGCAGUUUCUGGGGUUGUGUGUCUUUACCUAAAACAAAGAAACACCUGCUGUGUGCUGGGAUGUGCACCCUGCUGUGAUCUCAGCCCAGUGCUUAAGAAUGUAACAUGGAAAUGCUUCUCCCAGUGGAAUGAUCUCUAAGUAGCAGCCUGCCUACUUCUACAGAAUGAUAAAGCUGGGAACACUCCAUGGUGCUAAUCCUGCAAAAUCCUUUUUAAAAACCAGUUUUUGUGUUCAUAAUCUAAUAAAUUUGACUUUUCAGAGCUGUUGUGUUUCCUAUGCAGAUUCCCUUACUGGGCUUGCUAAAUUUUGGUGCAAUUUCAUAAGAAAGAAAAAAUAUCAAAGCCCCCAAGCAAAGGCUUGGGGAGGUUUUAGUCGUGUGUGUAAAUACUUGAUUGGGUUAGUAAAGCAGUUUGAGACAGCAUUUGCUCAGCAGUGCCCAGUGGCAGGACAAGAGACUAUCUGCACAAAUUAAAACACAACUAAUUCCACUUAAACAAAAGAGAAUACUUUUUUACUCUGGAAGGGGUGAAACACUGGAGUGGAUUGCCCAGCGAAGUUGCAGAGUCUCCUUCCUUGGGGAUAUGAGAACCCCAACUGGACACAGUCCCAGACAACACGUUCCAGCUGACUGUGGUGUGAGCAGGAGGUUGGAUUGGAUGAUCUCCAGAGGUGCCUUCCAGCCCCAGCUGUUCUGUGACUCCAGGAUUUUCUGAUGUGUGAGAUGCUGACCUCUCCAGACCUCUGGGAUGCUGUAUUUACUGUGCAGCCCAACCAGCAGGUUUGCCUUCUCACGUAAAGUCUGUCUGACCCACUGAGGCUCCGGGGAGAAGCCAGGAAUGACUUCCAGAGAGGCCAAGCCCUGGCUCUUUUUCCUUGCCAGAGGAGCACAAGCCCCCAGAGCCUGGUGCGCUGUGUCAGGCGCUGGCAGCGGCUCCGAGCCUCGUGCCCGCGGCAUUUUGAGCAGAGUUUUGAGAUGAGCCAGGGCAGGGCAGAGCUCAGCCCGCCUGCCCGGGCACAGCCUGCCUCGCCCCGCAGCCCUCUCCCCAGCAGGACAGCUGGGAUGGGGCAAGGAGGCAGCUGGAGGGAGAUGCUGCCUGUGUUCCACCCAGGAAACACCAUCCAGGAGUGCCAUCUGCUGGGUCCCGGCCACGCAGCCUGGGAGCGCCCGGAGCUGCCCUCGCACAGGUGGUGGGAGGCGCUGGGGAGAUUCAGCUGCCAGCAGGCUUCCUCCUCUCCUCCCAGGCUGCUUGGGCAUCCUCUGCCAAGGGCUGUGAGGGAGCCUGUGCCAGAGAAGAGCUGGCUGGUUUUAAACAACCUGAGAGUCACUGAAAUGAGAAAUGACAGGAGAGUUAGUCCAAGGAAAGUGUGCUUUCUGAAUCAUUACUCCAUCAUGCUACUCCAUGGAACUCAGAAAAUCACCCCAGGAGCUUUCAGCUCCUCCAGGCUGAGUGGUUAGGAUGGUGGAGUGGAAGCACUCUGCAGUGUUAAUCCUGUGAAAUCCAAUUUUUAUGUUCAUAAGCAAUUUAAGUACCUGUAGCAUUUUCAGAACUAUUUUAUUUCUGUAGCAGGAUCCAUACCAGCCCCUGUAACAGGGUUCCUUCUAAUGUGACACGCUGGGCAGUAUCAGAUUCCCAAUCUCUCCUCCUAAUCACUGCACCCCAGACCAGGCACUGUCCGUGGUGGAUCUUGGAGAGGGAACAGUGGAUCAUGAGUGCCACAGCGUGGGGAAGAAAUCCUGUAUGGUUGCUGCUCAGAGGCAGGGAAAGCUCACAAGUGAAACCUCUAGCAAUUAUCAAUGAUCUGCAUUUUUAACCAACUUGUGUACCAUCUAGACUGGUGAUUCAUCCCCUUGUGGCUUUAAAAUCACAAUAUUUAAGCAGCAAGAUGGAAUCCAGGGGUGGUAUUCAGAACAAUCUCUUAUCUGCAGUACUUGGUUUGUCAGCACUACCUUAUCCAUGUGGUUUAACAGCUGAGAGAAGGUCUUUUACUGAGAAACAUGGCCAUGUUGGUCCUUUUGGUCCCACAGACAGGCUGUGACUUCAAUGCCUGCAGUUCUUUGACAGCAAGUUCAGAUCUCAGACUGCCAUCUUGGAGAUAUUGGGGAAAAAAAGAAGAAAUAAAAAAUCAUUUGUGCUGACAAAAAGGAAUAGUCACAGGAAGAGUUAUCACAGAAUGGUUUGUGUUAGAAAGGACCUUCAAGGAUCGUCUAGUCCCAUUCCUAAAUACUUCUGGAGACACAAUGCGCAUCUUCCCACUGGUGAGCCUCCAGCCAGCUGUGGGUAGCCAGGCCUAGAUACCUGACCAAAGCACUGCAGCCUGCUGCCACCACCACUGUCACAUCCCCAGCAAAGUGGAUGAGGACCCCUUUUUUCCCAGCUCGGCCUCAUGGUGAGCUAGUGUCAGCCUGUCCACAGAGCUUGGGACAAUAUGAGCUGUGGAAAGGAACUGCUAAAUCUUUCUGAGGGCAAGAAACAAUAUUUUUUUGGUGGUCUUUUAGAGAAGGAGUAAAUUAGAUAUGCUGCGCUGGUCUACAUAUGAUUACCCUCCUCCCUGAGAGAGUGGUGCUCACACAGAAAAAAUCCCUGACUGUUUAAAGAAUACUUCCAAAACAAUGAAUAAUGGAACCCAUUUGGAAAUUAUACUGAAUUAAAUAAUUUCAAGAGGGUGUUAAAGCAGUGUGGCUUUGGGCAAAGGUGCAUCAGCAGCAGAUAAGAGGUAUCUGGAUUAAUGGCAAAAGUACAGGGAAUAUUCUUCCAUACAAUACUGAACUGUGUCAAUUUAGUGAAUGUUUCAAGUACUAAACUAUUGUGCACACUUUCUUAUCACUUGUGCCAACAAGAUUUUUAUUCUAUUGAUUCAUCUCAUUUUAAACAUAAAGUCCAUUCUCGAUUCACUGCUUUUAUUAUUUUACAGGAAUUAGAGCUGUGAAAUUGCAGUUCUAGUUUUUAAUGAAAUUAAAUAUUCUGUUCUCAAAUGAAUAGUUUGAACUGGUUUACACUGAUGUAAUCUAGACUGAAUCCUGUGUUUACAGAGGCUCAAUGGCAUGUAGGCUUGUAUCAGACAUUGAAAUGGGCUCUCUCUCCAGUUCUUGGUUUCAGCAUCCUGCCUUCAAAUCAAUUAGUGGUGGGUGGGCACUGGACUGAAAUGCACACCAAAAAGACCCUGAUAUAGAAAAGCUUCAGGAUCCAGUUAAGUUUAUGCAUGCUUUUUUGAGUGCAGAAAAUGUGUAGUGAAGUAUUUCACCAAACUGGACCCCAAAUAAAUUUUUCAAGCAAUGAGGUAAAACACAGACAAAUAAGAGUGGGUGAGAGGGAAUACUACUUUUCUUUUCUAUAGGGUUUAUGGGGGCACAGAUUACAUAUGAUCCUACAGUUCCCCACGUGGGAGGAAGGGGAUCAGAGUGGGCCCUGAUGUCUCCAGCCCUAAGCUGAGGAGGACAGGACAGAGCCUGGUCUCACCCACUGAUGGAGCCCAGGGAACUGUACAAACUGGGACUCUGUACAAACUGGGUGGCAAGGCAGUGGAAACAAGGGGGUGCUUGGCACCUCAGACCCAUGGCCAGCCUCCUUCUGCAGUGGGAGUCAGCAGCUCUCCUUCUGCAUCUGCUGGAGAGCUCUCGUGAGAGGAGCACUGGGCACUCUGUGGAGUGAGGGCUUCCGCUCUGAGCCAGGGGCUGAGCAUAGCUGAACAUUUCCACUCCUCCUAUGUUCUCAUUUGAAAGUGUGGUUUUUACAAGGGUUAUUUUCCCUUCCCAGAAAGUACCCUAAUUGGAGGGACUCUCCCCCCACUAAAAAAACCCAGAAUGACCCAUAGAAUAAAAUUCUUGACCUUAAAUGGACACGUUCUUUGCUGAAUAGACUGUUGAUGAAUUUUGGUUUCCAUUUUCCAUCCUGCUCUGAACAAUGCCCAUUCUUCUGGCAUUGCUAGAUGUUUUUCCCACCUGUCCACUUUGAGGGCAGAAAGAGACUUGAGGGCAGGAAAUCUCUGGAGCCAGAGUUUUGAGGGGAGGUCAAAUAUUACGGGAAGACACAGCAGGCUUGUACAAAAGCGCUUCAGCUUAACAUCCCUGAACUUUUCCACUGUAUCAUGGAACAGCAGCUGAUUAGCAGAGCUUCCACAUGGUACAGAAAUAACUUCUGAACUCCUAAACCUGGCACCCAUUUCUGGCCUUCGUACAGUGGGCAAAAUGUUAAUGACAAAAUGGGAACAUAUAAGGAUGAAAAUAUUGCAACCAUUUUCUACAAUGUGUCCUAAAGAAAUACUCCUUAUUUUAGAAUGCUUUUAAAAGGUAAAAAUUGAUUUGAAGCUGAGUUGACAUCCCCACCAGAACAGUAAAAUGUGCUGUCAGAAUUACAAAUAAAAAGUGUUACUUUAUAGACUAAUGGAUUUGUUUGCUGGCUUUGCAUACUCUGCUUAA